rnacentral:rRNA from 1 species
UGCGUAACGCCUGGGAAUCUGCCCUUGGGUUCGGAAUAACGUCGGGAAACUGACGCUAAUACCGGAUGAUGACGAAAGUCCAAAGAUUUAUCGCCCAGGGAUGAGCCCGCGUAGGAUUAGCUAGUUGGUGAGGUAAAGGCUCACCAAGGCGACGAUCCUUAGCUGGUCUGAGAGGAUGAUCAGCCACACUGGGACUGAGACACGGCCCAGACUCCUACGGGAGGCAGCAGUAGGGAAUAUGGACAAUGGGCGCAAGCCGUCCAGCA